ensembl:lncRNA
AAGGAGGAAUCUCCUUACAAUGCAUCCGUGUGUUUAAGGCAGAGGCUGGCAACAACACACGCAACUUCAAUAGAGCGCCUUGAACACACGGGGAAAAGGUGCACCCGAGCUGCCGAUCUACCCCAACCUUUCUACAGCCUUAAAUAUAUAAUCACAUAUGAUGCCAUUUUUUGCUUCUUCAAAUUUGGCAUCAAAGUAAAUGUGUUCUGACAACAGUUAGUGACAAGGGCUCCAAAGGAAAAAAGGAAAGUCGGCCGUACCACACCGUAUCAAUUAUUGAUUGUGCGGCUCUCGACCUGAAAGAAAGAGAGAGAGCAUUGUCAUAAUGAAAUAUGUGAUUUUUUUUUUACAAAAUAAAAAAAGAAUAGAUAAAGGUCGUCCCAUUGUUAUGAAGACUUAUGAGUUUGAUUGACAGCCUGCAAAUUCUCUUCGUUCACGUGCAGCUCUCGACCUGAAAGAAAGAUAGAGAGCAUUGUCAUAAUGAAAUAUGUGAUUUUUUUUACAAAAUCAAAAAAAAGAAUAGAUAAAGGUCGUCCCAUUGUUCUGAAGACUUAUGAGUUUGACUGACAGCCUGCAAAUUCUCUUCGUUCACUCAUAAAGGAGAUCAAAAGACAGUUCUUCUCUUUGCCCAAGGCCACUUGCAAUUUAUUUAGAAGCCCUGCGCUUGUGUCCCAGCAGGUAUCACUGCCGAACCAAGCCACUCAGGAUAAUCACAACUUUAAGCCGUCUCUCCUCCUCGCUUGCUUUCUUUGUCAAAUUAAUGUAACUGAGAAGCUGGUUCAGUUUCUUAGCUUUAACAAUGACAAUAUUUUGAAAUCAUCUAUUAUUUAAAUAACAAAACUUAUACAAAUAACAAAAAUUAUAAUGUACAGUGGGGACCAAAAGUCCACAGAUGCCACAUUAGAAAAUCUAAGAUUCAAAAUGUAAUUAAAACCAGGAGAAAUUCAGCCUGGGUGAGCAUGAGAUUUCUUUCCAAAACAUAUUUCAAACAUUUCAGAUUCUGCACUAUUUGUAGGUCAACAUGUGACAUUGAUCAUGUGAUCUCCUUUCAGUCCUCUGGAUCAUUUCAAAUCAUGCCGAAGAACAUGAUCAUCAGAUUUAUAUGGAAGUUCAUACAGAUCAAGUGCUCCUGUCAAACAAAAUCCGGCGAGAUGAAGACAUGAGGCUCCUCUAAUGCAAACACUGAGUAGGACAGUCUUUGGAGUGUCAGGAUUCUGACAGGACCGCCGUGAGCCAGUUCAUCUCUGUGCAUGUAUCCACACUAGCCAUAACUGUUUGAGAAUGAAGAGUUCACAACUGCACUCAAAAUGCAAACAGUCUAGAGUUGUCCUUGCAACAUGGGAUUUGAGUCAUUUCACAGUUAUUUUAAUCAAAACCAAAAGCCACAGAAUGUAGUUUUUACUGGCUCUUUUGAAAUUCAUUUUUGUUGGGUUCUUUUAGAGCAGUGUGGAUUCAGUGUGGUUUGUGAUGCUGGUUGAAAUUAUUCUUUUAUGAAAAAUAACUACAGUGGAUGUCUUUUUUCACCCAGCUGUAUUUAUUUAUAUUUUUAUGUCGCUGAUUGCUCCUUACAUACCAUUCUAUGAAAUUUCAAACAAAGGAUAGGUCACUUCAAGGCUUUAGAAAAAUGAUGGCUGCAGUAAAAAAGGUCAUUUCUUUUUGUUUUGUGUCAUUUUAUGUUGCAUCCUUUAUUUGUUCAAUAGUUUGAGGUUGGUAAGAUUUUUAUAGGUUUUUGUUUUUAAGCUUAUGCUCACCAAGCAUUUUAUUUUUUAUGAAAAAUACAGUAAAAACAGCGA